rnacentral:rRNA from 1 species
ACGAACGCUGGCGGCGUGCUUAACACAUGCAAGUCGCACGGAAAGGCCCUGCUUGCAGGGUGCUCGAGUGGCGAACGGGUGAGUAACACGUGGGUGAUCUGCCCCUUAUUUUGGGAUAAGCCUGGGAAACUGGGUCUAAUACUGGAUAGGACCAUGCUGUAGGUGGUGUGGUGGAAAGAUUAGUUUCGGUAAGGGAUGAGCUCGCGGCCUAUCAGCUUGUUGGUGGGGUAAUGGCCUACCAAGGCGUCGACGGGUAGCCGGCCUGAGAGGGUGGACGGCCACAUUGGGACUGAGAUACGGCCCAGACUCCUACGGGAGGCAGCAGUGGGGAAUAUUGCACAAUGGGCGCAAGCCUGAUGCAGCGACGCCGCGUGGGGGAUGACGGCCUUCGGGUUGUAAACUCCUUUCAGCCAUGACGAAGCCCUUGUGGCGACGGUAGUGGUAGAAGAAGCACCGGCUAACUACGUG